CCUACGGGGGGCAGCAGUGGGGAAUAUUGGACAAUGGGGGCAACCCUGAUCCAGCCAUGCCGCGUGUGUGAAGAAGGCCCUCGGGUUGUAAAGCACUUUCAGUGAGGAAGAACGCCUGGUGGUUAAUACCCAUCAGGAAAGACAUCACUCACAGAAGAAGCACCGGCUAACUCCGUGCCAGCAGCCGCGGUAAUACGGAGGGUGCGAGCGUUAAUCGGAAUUACUGGGCGUAAAGCGCGCGUAGGUGGCUUGAUAAGCCGGUUGUGAAAGCCCCGGGCUCAACCUGGGAACGGCAUCCGGAACUGUCAAGCUAGAGUGCAGGAGAGGAAGGUAGAAUUCCCGGUGUAGCGGUGAAAUGCGUAGAGAUCGGGAGGAAUACCAGUGGCGAAGGCGGCCUUCUGGACUGACACUAACACUGAGGUGCGAAAGCGUGGGUAGCAAACAGGAUUAGAUACCCUUGUAGUC
rnacentral:rRNA from 1 species